UACGGAGGGGACUAGCGUUGUUCGGAAUUACUGGGCGUAAAGCGCACGUAGGCGGAUUUGUAAGUCAGGGGUGAAAUCCCGGGGCUCAACCUCGGAACUGCCUUUGAUACUGCAGAUCUCGAGUCCGGAAGAGGUGAGUGGAAUUCCUAGUGUAGAGGUGAAAUUCGUAGAUAUUAGGAAGAACACCAGUGGCGAAGGCGGCUCACUGGCCCGGUACUGACGCUGAGGUGCGAAAGCGUGGGGAGCAAACAGG
rnacentral:rRNA from 1 species